rnacentral:rRNA from 1 species
ACAGAUGGGAGCUUGCUCCCUGAUGUUAGCGGCGGACGGGUGAGUAACACGUGGGUAACCUGCCUGUAAGACUGGGAUAACUCCGGGAAACCGGGGCUAAUACCGGAUGGUUGUCUGAACCGCAUGGUUCAGACAUAAAAGGUGGCUUCGGCUACCACUUACAGAUGGACCCGCGGCGCAUUAGCUAGUUGGUGAGGUAACGGCUCACCAAGGCGACGAUGCGUAGCCGACCUGAGAGGGUG